GCCCGAGUGGUGGAAUUGGUAGACACGCUAUCUUGAGGGGGUAGUGAGCAAAACUCGUGCCGGUUCAAAUCCGGCCUCGGGCA
rnacentral:tRNA from 1 species